rnacentral:tRNA from 1 species
CGGUCGUGGCGGAACUGGUAGACGCGCAUGGUUGAGGGCCAUGUGGGAGCAAUCCCUUGAGAGUUCGAGUCUCUCCGACCGCACCA